UUUGAAGGAGCUUUCUGAAACGUUACUGCUUGACUGAGAAAUCAGCUGCAUGUGGGCUGCUUCUGAGCGAGGAUGGGCAACGUGGAGCUCCAGGAGCCUUUCUCCCAGAUUCCUCUUUUUCGUGCUUGGGUGAGCCGUGUGCCUGGGGACCCCAGCCAUGGAUGGUCCCAGAAACCUGAAGAAGGUGAUGGGAGCCUUGUCCGUUCGGCUAUUUCACCACUACCAUGAUCAUAUUCACAGCAUCACUUUGCACGUUUUGGGGCUGCAGCUGCACUUCCCACUUCUCUUAUAAACGUGUUGACCAAAGAAUUACAAGCCCUAUUCAACAUGACCUUUGCAGUUCCCGUCCUCCCUGUGCACACUUCCCACUAGACUUAUAUAUUCUUUUCUCUGGCUGUGUGGGUUAUUUUUUUCUUUCCUUUGAAAAAAAGAGGUGAUGGGGGGAGGGUCUGAAGAUAGCCUGGUGUUUAGUGGGGUCUCCGGGGGCAUUGAGUGGCUCCAGCCUUAUCCAUGCCAUGUUGGUAACUCCUGUAGUACAGCCAAUGGGAAGUGCCCCAGGGCCUUCAGUGCUGAGCAGCUUCCUGAAUACCUGGCUCAUGAAGUGCCGAAAUAAUCAUAACGAAUCAUUUAAUAUGUCAG
ensembl:lncRNA